GAUGAAGAACUAGCGAAAUGCGAUAAGUAAUGUGAAUUGCAGAAUUCAGUGAAUCAUCGAAUCUUUGAACGCACAUUGCGCCCCUUGGUAUUCCGAGGGGCAUGCCUGUUCGAGCGUCAUUAUAACCCCUCAAGCUUAGCUUGGUGUUGGGGCCUGCUGUAAUAGAGCAGCCCUUAAAAUCAGUGGCGGUGCCAUUAGGCUCUAAGCGUAGUAAUUCUUCUCGCUAUAGGGUUCUGGUGGAUGCUUGCCAUUAACCUCUAAUUUUCUAUGGUUGACCUCGGAUCAGGUAGGGAUACCCGCUGAACUUAAGCAUAUCAAUAAGCGGAGGA
rnacentral:misc_RNA from 1 species